CUCCGUUUCCCAAUAGUACUGAGGACUGAACCUGAACAAGAGACUGCUGGUCAGAAACAAGAACAACUGGGAGUCUUGGAGAGCUCGCCGUUGUCCCACACUGUGCCUGCUUCCAGGGAGUACAAAGCCAUGUCGGAUCCAUGCCCAGGACUGUUAGUUCAGCUACAUGGCAAGUCCAUCUGUCCCUGGAGCCUGGGACUCUAGCAGGUGAUGCCAAAAGAAGGAAGACUCUCAAGCUGUUCCCUCUAAAGCACUGCUGGUCAGUUUAGUUGUUGGAACGUCAUAGACCUGGGUAGUUGUCUUCUUGUCCUGUCGUCUUCUUUUCCUGUGGGAAACGCACCGAGAAGCAAACUGCCUCCUGGAUCUCUCAGCCUAUGAUACGGGUUGAGACUCACCCUCACUUUGAGACUGACUUUGAUAAUGAGGUGGAAGCGCAGAGAACUUAGCUGGGACUCUAGCAGGCAACGGCUUCCAGAGCCCACCACUAAUCACCAGAAGGCAGUGCUCAGCAGGCAGUGGUCUCCAGAGUCCACCCCUAAGCACUGGGGACCAGUGCUCAGCAGGUAGAGCCCACCCCUAAGCACUGGGGGGGACAGUGCUCAGCAGGUGGAGUCCACCCCUAAGCAUUGGGGACAGUGUUCAGCAGACAGAUCCCAUCCCUAAGCAUUGGGGACAGUGUUCAGCAGGCAGUGGUCUCCAGUGUCCACCCUUACACACACACGGGAAGCAGCCCCUUCAGGCUAAUCAGUGGUUCUUCUUCUCCCGUGAUGAUUCCUUUCAGAACUCCUAGUCCAACAAGAAAAUUAGUGUCACAGAGAAGAACGGCACAAAUGAACUGGGAAAAGAAGCCUGAGUUUGGUUUCUAGUCCUUUCUCAGUCUCCCUCUGUGAAGUGGAUAUAUGGGAUAGCUCUGGGUACCAAGAAAUGAUACCCACGGAGAAAUUAGCAUAAAGAAGUCAAAACACAUUAGUACUUGUUGUAUAUGAAGUAUUUCCCCAAUGCUCUUGUAUUGAACGUUUGAUCCUCGAUGCCAAGGUGGGGCUUCUGGGAAUGGAAGGGCUCAUGAGUUUCUUGCUUUGUCAGUGGAUCAAUCCUGUGGUAUAUUUGUGAUCUGAUGGCCCUGUUUGGAAAGUGAUGGCAAUGCUGGGCGGUGAGGCCUGUGGCAGGAAAUGGAUCCCCGAGUGAACCACAUGCCUUUGAAGGAUGAAUUCUGUCCUCUACCCCUUCCUUUCUGUCUGUCUGCUUCUGGCUGCCACAAGGUGAUGUGAUGUUAUGUUAAAACAAUGACUUCCCCAUCCUGCUGUACCAAGCAUUAAAAAUAGCACUUGGAGUUUUUGUUAGCAGCUCUCUUGGGCAUCGGCUUCAGUACUAACCACCUUUGUACACAGAACCGCUUUGGCUAGGAAAAGGGAAGUUGAAAGUCGCAAAGAGUGGUAAAAAUCAUACAGGAAGAAAACCAUGGCAGCUCAACGUCGACCCCCAGGAACACUUGAAGACUUCUCUGGUGUUAUUCCUCUUCUGCCCAGCGCUUUCACAAAACUGUUCGCAGUUCCCACACGCCGACUCUGUUGUAGACAUGGAGGGGAGGCUGGAGAGCGAGAGCUCCCCUUGCGGGCUAGGCCUGCAGUUUGCUGGGUGGCCUUGAGCAUGCUAAGUAAAAGCUGUUUGAUUAGGUCGUAGGACUGACGCUAGGCAUCGCAGAUACAACCACAACCUCCAACUCCCGAAACCACUUUCAUCGCGAAGGGAUUGUUAGCGUGGUCCGUUUUCUGGAUGUUUCAUUUCUGUCUGAGAAAAAAACCCUAAACUUCACUGUGCAGUAUGUCGAACAACCCACCAACAUCCUCCCGUGCCCGGGACUAAUUUGCUGCUGCUAGGGUAGCAUGUGUAGAGGGAAGUGGUUCUUCAAGCGUGGUUUCUGCACCAGCAGCAUCAGUACCACGGGAGACCGUGUAGACUAGCAUAUUCACACAGACCUGCGGGUCCUAGAGCCGCUGGGACUGCUUUCCAGGGGCUUCGGGUUCGACACGGAUGGAUUAGUUUUAUAAUUUGGAAAUUUUAUUCUAUCACUCCAAUGAAUCAAAAUUCUGUGUAAAGCCUGACGAAGAAACCCUGCCACUGAUUUCUUCCUUAUACUCUCUGAUACAGCUCGGACAUCUGGAGUCACCUAUCAUAGUCGAUCUUUAACAGGGCGAUCCCGCAAACCGCCUUUCCCACACCUUUAAAAUGUUCUGUUCUAGUACCAAGUUUAAAAGCCUUAACAAAGGAGGAGAUUAAAGUGCUCUCAUGUGGUUUGCAGACACGUGGAUCUAUAGAUUAUCUAUAGUCCUCGCUCAGUGACUAAUGAGAUCGGCUGCAGGACUGAGAGACACAUCUGGUCAUCCAGAGAUGAGUGAAAUCACAGGUAGACUCGUCCCUUCUCCAGCAGAGCAUGAGAACUUGGAUGUGUGUGCCAGUAAGGUCAGCUGACUUUGGCGGGUCUUGUUGGUUGAAGAAUGACCCAGUGUUUCCCAGAGCUGGCUGAUACUCAGCAGAGCAGGGAGCCAGUUUAGUGUUUGGCAGAAUGGCGCUGCUAUUAACCAGGGUGGGUGGGGAAGCUUACAUCACGGAGAUGGGCAGACCCUGUAACUGAGGACUUACAUACCUAUGUAGAUUUAUGAGAACACGAGGUUCGUAAAUGCCUAUUGGCUGAGCUCAUCUACUCAAGAUUGAAGACUCGUAAUUAUGAGACCAGAAAGGUGUGCUAGGGCUUAAGAUCACACACUACUCUGGCAGAGGCAGAGGACUGAAUUUGAUUCCCGGCACCCAUGCCAGAUUGUCCACCACUGUCCCUAACUCCAGCUCUGCAGAGGGUCAGGGAUCCACUACCCUGUUCUGGCCUCUAUGAGCACCUGCCGUCACACAUACAUACCACACGUACAUACCCACAAAUGAAAAUAAAAUAAAUCUUAAAAGUGGAAAGGAUCACGCUGUGUGUGUCAGGUUGACACCUGCACUGGAAUAGCAGAAGAUUUGCUGGGGGACGUCACGCCACCUGACUGCUGUUGUCUUUGCUCCAGCAAUAAAUUCCCUACCACUCAACUGAACACUUCGGUAUAGACCAUCUAGGUAUCUGCCGGGAACUCUUGUGUCCUGCUGGCCACCACCUGUUGCUACUGCCAAGAGGAAGACCUAAUGAGUAUCAGAACUGGGGGGCUUGGCCACCUGAGGGACCCCUGGUCCAUGCUUUGUCUCCUUCUCCUUGUAGUUAGCUCUCUUGCCAACUACAGGACCGUAGUUCUCCGUGAAAGGACUGUCUUCAUUUGAUUUAAGACAUCACUGGCUCUGCUGCAUCAGGUCUCCAGAUGUGCUCCAGUCUCAGCUCAGGAUUAGACUUAGGUCAAGUUCAAAUGAGGACGCCUUCUUCUAAUUAGCCUAUAGGUGAUUUAUUGAGUUGC